rnacentral:tRNA from 1 species
UCCCUGGUGGCUCAGAGGUUAAAGCAUCUGCCUCCGAUGCAGGAGACCCGGGUUCGAUCCCCCAGGAAG